GACGGGGGGGGCAAGUGUUCUUCGGAAUUACUGGGCGUAAAGCGCACGCAGGCGGUUUGUUAAGUCAGAUGUGAAAUCCCCGGGCUCAACCUGGGAACUGCAUCUGAUACUGGCAAGCUUGGGUCUCGUAGAGGGGGGUAGAAUUCCAGGUGUAGCGGUGAAAUGCGUAGAGAUCUGGAGGAAUACCAGUGGCGAAGGCGGCCUUCUGGACUGACACUGACGCUGAGGCGCGAAAGCGUGGGUAGCAAACAGG
rnacentral:rRNA from 1 species